UGGAUUUCCCAGUUAGUCUAUUUGUUGUCGUACAUGUGUACAUACGACUUUAAUGUUUUCGUUGGAAAUCAACAUUUCAGUAUACAUUUUAGAUUCCGAGUGAAGCGAAGAAGUUUAUGGUUUUUGAAAGAUGUUUAUUUUUUUUCUGGGGACAAUUUUUCUACCCGAGUUCAUGCUCCGAUUUUCAGGUGUAGCACCUUUUAUGAAAGGAAAUUGAUAUCGGGAGGUCA